GUGCCAGCAGCCGCGGUAAUACAGAGGGUGCGAGCGUUGUCCGGAAUCACUGGGCGUAAAGGGCGCGUAGGCGGCUGGCUAAGCGGGUGGUGAAAGCCCGGGGCUCAACCCCGGGUCGGCCAUGCGAACUGGUCAGCUGGAGCACGGUAGAGGCACAUGGAAUUCCGGGUGUAGCGGUGGAAUGCGUAGAGAUCCGGAAGAACACCGGUGGCGAAGGCGGUGUGCUGGGCCGUAGCUGACGCUGAGGCGCGACAGCGUGGGGAGCAAACAGGAUUAGAUACCCCAGUAGUCC
rnacentral:rRNA from 1 species